rnacentral:rRNA from 1 species
AUUGAACGCUAGCGGGAUGCUUUACACAUGCAAGUCGAACGCAGUGGGGACGGGUGAGUAACACGUGGGUAACCUCCCAUCAGAGGGGAUAACACUUGGAAACCGGUGCUAAAACGAUACUGAUGGAUGGACCCGCGGUGCAGUAGCUCGUUGGUGAGGGAACGGCUCACCAAGGCCACGAUGCAUAGCCGACCUGAGAGGGUGAUCGGCCAAACUGGGACUGAGACACGGCCCAGACUCCUACGGGAGGCAGCAGUAGGGAAUCUUCUGCAAUGGACGAAAGUCUGACCGAGCAACGCCGCGUGAGUGAAGAAGGUUUUCGGAUCGUAAAACUCUGUUGUUAGAGAAGCGGUAUCUAACCAGAAAGCCACGGCUAACUACGUGCCAGCAGCCGCGGUAAUAC